rnacentral:rRNA from 1 species
AACGAACGCUGGCGGCGCGCCUAAUACAUGCAAGUCGAGCGAGAAGACGUAGCAAUACGUUUGUAAAGCGGCGAACGGGUGAGGAAUACAUGGGUAACCUACCCUCGAGUGGGGAAUAACUAGCCGAAAGGUUAGCUAAUACCGCGUACGCUCCUUGGACUUCGGUUCAGGGAGGAAAGCGAUACCGUGGGUAUCGCGCUC